GACAGAGGUGGCGAGCGUUGCUCGGAUUUACUGGGCUUAAAGGGCGCGUAGGUGGCCUUGUAAGUCAAAGGUGGAAUUCCACAGCUCAACUGUGGAACUGCCUUUGAUACUGCAAGGCUUGAGUCAGGUAGAGGGAGGCGGAAUUCCCGGUGUAGCGGUGAAAUGCGUAGAUAUCGGGAGGAAGGCCGGUGGCGAAGGCGGCCUCCUGGGCCUGCACUGACGCUCAUGCACGAAAGCGUGGGGAGCAAACAGG
rnacentral:rRNA from 1 species